GACGAACGCUGGCGGCGUGCUUAACACAUGCAAGUCGAACGGUGAAGGGGCCUGCUUUUGUGGGCCCUGGAUGAGUGGCGAACGGGUGAGUAACACGUGAGUAACCUGCCCCCUUCUUCUGGAUAACCGCAUGAAAGUGUGGCUAAUACGGGAUAUUCUGGGUCUGUCGCAUGAUGGGUCUGGGAAAGAUUGCGCCUUUGGGUGUUUUUGGUGGGGGAUGGGCUCGCGGCCUAUCAGCUUGUUGGUGGGGUGAUGGCCUACCAAGGCGGUGACGGGUAGCCGGCCUGAGAGGGUGGACGGUCACACUGGGACUGAGACACGGCCCAGACUCCUACGGGAGGCAGCAGUGGGGAAUAUUGCACAAGGGGCGCAAGCCUGAUGCAGCGACGCCGCGUGAGGGAUGGAGGCCUUCGGGUUGUAAACCUCUUUCGCCAGUGAAGCAGGCCUGCUCCGUGUGGGUGGGUUGACGGUAGCUGGAGAAGAAGCGCCGGCUAACUACGUG
rnacentral:rRNA from 1 species